rnacentral:rRNA from 1 species
UUAGAGUUUGAUCCUGGCUCAGAAUCAACGCUGGCGGCGUGCCUAACACAUGCAAGUCGAACGCGAAAGUCCCGCAAGGGAUUAGUAGAGUGGCAAACGGGUGAGUAACACGUGGGUGACCUGCCUUCGAGCGGGGGAUAACAUCCCGAAAGGGAUGCUAAUACCGCAUGACAUCCUGCCUUUGAAUAGGUGGAGAUCAAAGCUGGGGAUCGCAAGACCUGGCACUCGAAGAGGGGCCCGCGCCCGAUUAGCUAGUUGGUGAGGUAACGGCUCACCAAGGCUUCGAUCGGUAGCCGGCCUGAGAGGGCACACGGCCACACUGGCACUGAAACACGGGCCAGACUCCUACGGGAGGCAGCAGUGGGGAAUCUUGCACAAUGGGGGCAACCCUGAUGCAGCGACGCCGCGUGAGCGAUGAAGCCCUUCGGGGUGUAAAGCUCUUUCGGCAGGAACGAUUAUGACGGUACCUGCAGAAG